rnacentral:rRNA from 1 species
GACGAACGCUGGCGGCGUGCUUAACACAUGCAAGUCGAACGGUGAAGCGCCUUCCUUUUUGGUGGGUGUGGAUGAGUGGCGAACGGGUGAGUAACACGUGAGUAACCUGCCCCCUUCUUCUGGAUAACCGCAUGAAAGUGUGGCUAAUACGGGAUAUUCUGGGUCUGUCGCAUGAUGGGUCUGGGAAAGAUAUUGUUUCGGUGGGGGAUGGGGUCGCGGCCUAUCAGCUUGUUGGUGGGGUGAUGGCCUACCAAGGCGGUGACGGGUAGCCGGCCUGAGAGGGUGGACGGUCACACUGGGACUGAGACACGGCCCAGACUCCUACGGGAGGCAGCAGUGGGGAAUAUUGCACAAUGGGCGCAAGCCUGAUGCAGCGACGCCGCGUGAGGGAUGGAGGCCUUCGGGUUGUGAACCUCUUUCGCCAGUGAAGCAGGCCUGCCUCGUUUGUGGGUGGGUUGACGGUAGCUGGAUAAGAAGCGCCGGCUAACUACGUG